rnacentral:rRNA from 1 species
UCCUACGGGGCGCAGCAGUGAGGAAUAUUGGUCAAUGGUCGGGAGACUGAACCAGCCAAGCCGCGUGAGGGAUGAAGGUACAGAGUAUCGUAAACCUCUUUUGUCAGGAAACAAAGGCGGGGACGCGUCCCCGGAUGAGUGUACCUGAAGAAAAAGCAUCGGCUAACUCCGUGCCAGCAGCCGCGGUAAUACGGAGGAUGCGAGCGUUAUCCGGAUUUAUUGGGUGUAAAGGGAGCGCAGGCGGCGUGGCAAGUCAGAUGUGAAAACCCGGGGCCCAACCCCGGGAGUGCAUUUGAAACUGCCAU